GGGGAAUAUUGCACAAUGGGCGCAAGCCUGAUGCAGCGACGCCGCGUGAGGGAUGACGGCCUUCGGGUUGUAAACCUCUUUCAGCACAGACGAAGCGCAAGUGACGGUAUGUGCAGAAGAAGGACCGGCCAACUACGUGCCAGCAGCCGCGGUAAUACGUAGGGUCCGAGCGUUGUCCGGAAUUACUGGGCGUAAAGAGCUCGUAGGUGGUUUGUCGCGUUGUUCGUGAAAACUCACAGCUUAACUGUGGGCGUGCGGGCGAUACGGGCAGACUUGAGUACUGCAGGGGAGACUGGAAUUCCUGGUGUAGCGGUGGAAUGCGCAGAUAUCAGGAGGAACACCGGUGGCGAAGGCGGGUCUCUGGGCAGUAACUGACGCUGAGGAGCGAAAGCGUGGGGAGCGAAC
rnacentral:rRNA from 1 species